UACGGGGGGAGCAAGCGUUGUUCGGAUUUACUGGGCGUAAAGGGCGCGUAGGCGGCCACCGCAAGUCGACUGUGAAAAUCUCCGGGCUUAACCCGGAAAGGUCAGCCGAUACUGCGGGGCUAGAGUGCAGAAGGGGCAACUGGAAUCUCGGUGUAGCGGUGAAAUGCGUAGAUAUCGAGAGGAACACCUGCGGCGAAGGCGACUACCUGGCCUGUUUUUCUUGACGCUGAGGCGCGAAAGCUAGGGGGAGCAAACGGG
rnacentral:rRNA from 1 species